rnacentral:rRNA from 1 species
CAGCCGCCGCGGGAAUACGUAGGUGGCAAGCGUUGUCCGGAAUUAUUGGGCGUAAAGCGCGCGCAGGUGGUUUAAUAAGUCUGAUGUGAAAGCCCACGGCUCAACCGUGGAGGGUCAUUGGAAACUGUUAAACUUGAGUGCAGGAGAGAAAAGUGGAAUUCCUAGUGUAGCGGUGAAAUGCGUAGAGAUUAGGAGGAACACCAGUGGCGAAGGCGGCUUUUUGGCCUGUAACUGACGCUGAGGCGCGAAAGCGUGGGGAGCAAACAGGAUUAGAGACCCCGGUAGUCCCUGUCUCUUAUAC